rnacentral:rRNA from 1 species
UACGUAGGGGGCAAGCGUUGUCCGGAUUUAUUGGGCGUAAAGAGCGUGUAGGCGGCCAUGUAGGUCCGUUGUGAAAACUCGAGGCUCAACCUCGAGACGCCGAUGGAAACCAUGUGGCUAGAGUCCGGAAGAGGAGAGUGGAAUUCCUGGUGUAGCGGUGAAAUGCGCAGAUAUCAGGAAGAACACCCGUGGCUAAGGCGGCUCUCUAGUACGGUACUGACGUUGAGGCACGAAAGCGUGGGGAGCAAACAGG